rnacentral:tRNA from 1 species
AUUUAUAUAGUUUAAAAAAAACAUUACAUUUUCAUUGUAAAAUUAAGUAUUAUCUUUAUAAAUU